AGAGUUUGAUUAUGGCUCAGGAUGAACGCUGGCGGCAUGCCUAAUACAUGCAAGUCGAACGAGAGGAAGGAAAGCUUGCUUUUCUGAAUCUAGUGGCGAACGGGUGAGUAACACGUAGGUAACCUGCCCAUGUGCCCGGGAUAACUUCUGGAAACGGAUGCUAAAACCGGAUAGGUAGCAGACAAGCAUUUGACUGCUAUUAAAGUGGCUAUGGCCAUGAACAUGGAUGGACCUGCGGUGCAUUAGCUAGUUGGUGAGGUAACGGCCUACCAAGGCGACGAUGCAUAGCCGGCCUGAGAGGGCGGACGGCCACAUUGGGACUGAGACACGGCCCAAACUCCUACGGGAGGCAGCAGUAGGGAAUUUUCGUCAAUGGGGGGAACCCUGAACGAGCAAUGCCGCGUGAGUGAGGAAGGUCUUCGGAUCGUAAAGCUCUGUUGUAAGAGAAAAACGGCACUCAUAGGGAAUGAUGAGUGAGUGAUGGUAUCUUACCAGAAAGUCACGGCUAACUACGUGCCAGCAGCCGCGGUAAUACGUAGGUGGCGAGCGUUAUCCGGAAUGAUUGGGCGUAAAGGGUGCGUAGGUGGCAGAUCAAGUCUGGAGUAAAAGGUAUGGGCUCAACCCGUACUGGCUCUGGAAACUGAUCAGCUAGAGAACAGAAGAGGACGGCGGAACUCCAUGUGUAGCGGUG
rnacentral:rRNA from 1 species